rnacentral:rRNA from 1 species
UACGGGGGGGGCAAGCGUUGUUCGGAAUUACUGGGCGUAAAGGGCUCGUAGGCGGCCAACUAAGUCAGACGUGAAAUCCCUCAGCUUAACUGGGGAACUGCGUCUGAUACUGGAUGGCUUGAGUUCGGGAGAGGGAUGCGGAAUUCCAGGUGUAGCGGUGAAAUGCGUAGAUAUCUGGAGGAACACCGGUGGCGAAGGCGGAUCUCUGGGCCUUACCUGACGCUCAGGUGCGAAAGCUAGGGGAGCGAACAGG